CCUACGGGAGGCAGCAGUAAGGAAUAUUGGACAAUGGAGGCAACUCUGAUCCAGCCAUGCCGCGUGAAGGAAGACGGCCUUAUGGGUUGUAAACUUCUUUUAUACAGGAAGAAACCUUUCCACGUGUGGAAAGUUGACGGUACUGUAAGAAUAAGGAUCGGCUAACUCCGUGCCAGCAGCCGCGGUAAUACGGAGGAUCCAAGCGUUAUCCGGAAUUAUUGGGUUUAAAGGGUCCGCAGGCUGUUUGUUAAGUCAGAGGUGAAAUCCUACCGCUCAACGGUAGAACUGCCUUUGAUACUGGCAAACUUGAGUUAUUGUGAAGUAGUUAGAAUGUGUAGUGUAGCGGUGAAAUGCAUAGAUAUUACACAGAAUACCGAUUGCGAAAGCAGAUUACUAACAAUAUACUGACGCUGAGGGACGAAAGCGUGGGUAGCGAACAGGAUUAGAUACCCUGGUAGUCCACGCCGUAAACGAUGGUCACUAGCUGUUCGACGUACAUUGGUACGUUGAGUGGCUAAGCGAAAGUGAUAAGUGACCCACUUGGGGAGUACGCUCGCAAGAGUGAAACUCAAAGGAAUUGACGG
rnacentral:rRNA from 1 species